UAUAGGCUAUAUAUAUGUACUAUUUACAACAUGAGCGGCCGUGUUGUAUCGGAUAUACAAACUCGAGCCGAAGGCGAGAGUUUGUAUAUCCGAUACAACACGGACGCGAAUGUUGUAAAUGACUUAAAAAACGACUCAUCUUAUGAGUUCAUUGGCGAAGUAAUUUUAAAAAUAAACGUUGUCUAAGCCGAGAAAAUCAAAGUUGAAGUUUAUGUAAAUCAACAUGAAUCUGUAUCACAUAUACAGAUACGACACGCUUAUGAUUUUUCUUUGUGUUUUCUUCAUGAAUUAUUAAUGAGUUUUUUAAAUAUAUAUAUAUAUAUA